AACCUAGCACACCUGCGGUGUGUACCUGCGGAGGGAUCAUUAACGAGUUACCACUCUAUAACCCUUUGUGAACAUACCUACAUGUUGCUUCGGCGGUCGGCCCCCCCGGGCCCCCGGCCCCGCUCACGCGGGGCGUCCGCCGGAGGAUAACCAAACUCUGAUUUAACGACGUUUCUUCUGAGUGGCACAAGCAAAUAAUCAAAACUUUCAGCAACGGAUCU
rnacentral:misc_RNA from 1 species